rnacentral:rRNA from 1 species
UACGAAGGGAGCUAGCGUUGUUCGGAAUCACUGGGCGUAAAGCGCGCGUAGGCGGAUUUGUUAGUGAGGGGUGAAAUCCCGGGGCUCAACCUCGGAACUGCCUUUCAUACUGCAGAUCUCGAGUCCGAUAGAGGUGGGUGGAAUUCCUAGUGUAGAGGUGAAAUUCGUAGAUAUUAGGAAGAACACCGGUGGCGAAGGCGGCCCACUGGAUCGGUACUGACGCUGAGGUGCGAAAGCGUGGGGAGCAAACAGG